rnacentral:rRNA from 1 species
UACGAAGGGGGCUAGCGUUGCUCGGAAUCACUGGGCGUAAAGGGUGCGUAGGCGGGUCUUUAAGUCAGGGGUGAAAUCCUGGAGCUCAACUCCAGAACUGCCUUUGAUACUGAAGAUCUUGAGUUCGGGAGAGGUGAGUGGAACUGCGAGUGUAGAGGUGAAAUUCGUAGAUAUUCGCAAGAACACCAGUGGCGAAGGCGGCUCACUGGCCCGAUACCGACGCUCAGGUGCGAAAGCGUGGGGAG